UACGUAGGGGGCAAGCGUUGUCCGGAUUUAUUGGGCGUAAAGGGCGCGUAGGCGGCUUGGCAAGUGGAUGGUGAAAUCCCUCGGCUUAACCGAGGAACUGCCGUCCAAACUGCUUUGCUUGAGACCGGGAGAGGUGAGUGGAAUUCCCAGUGUAGCGGUGAAAUGCGUAGAUAUUGGGAGGACACCUGCGGUGUAGACGGCUUACUGGACCAUAACUGACGCUGAGGCACGAAAGCGUGGGUAG
rnacentral:rRNA from 1 species